GACGAACGCUGGCGGCGUGCUUAACACAUGCAAGUCGAACGGAAGGGCCCUGCUUUUGUGGGGUGCUCGAGUGGCGAACGGGUGAGUAACACGUGAGUAACCUGCCCUUGACUUUGGGAUAACUUCAGGAAACUGGGGCUAAUACCGGAUAGGAGCUCCUGCUGCAUGGUGGGGGUUGGAAAGUUUCGGCGGUUGGGGAUGGACACGCGGCUUAUCAGCUUGUUGGUGGGGUAGUGGCUUACCAAGGCUUUGACGGGUAGCCGGCCUGAGAGGGUGACCGGCCACAUUGGGACUGAGAUACGGCCCAGACUCCUACGGGAGGCAGCAGUGGGGAAUAUUGCACAAUGGGCGGAAGCCUGAUGCAGCAACGCCGCGUGCGGGAUGACGGCCUUCGGGUUGUAAACCGCUUUCGCCUGUGACGAAGCGUGAGUGACGGUAAUGGGUAAAGAAGCACCGGCUAACUACGUG
rnacentral:rRNA from 1 species